AAGAAACCUCGAGCUUUUCUUCUCAAACAGGUUUACAGAACCAGUGUUUCCUUUCUGAGAAGCGAGACAACUGGGAGACAGGGAGGGUUGGGGGAAAGGAGAGUGACAAUUGGAAGGAGAGGGGCACAAUUUGGAGGGACAAAACGGGGAGCUGAGAAAAACAGCCUCCGAAAGCAGCCGGACCCUGCAAGGACCCUCCCACACCGCACCUCACUCCUCUCACACACACACCCCUCACCUAGAGGAGAGUCACCUCUCCAGAGCACCUGGGCCUUCAUUCCCAUCUGCAAGAGGGCAGGGCUCCCAGAUACUCUGUGAUGACGCGUGGGCCCCACCAAAAUAGAACCGAACAGAACUGGUGGAGAAAGAAUUUGUUUGAAAUUUGUGGAUCCACCAUCACUGUGAAAAACACACCCCAGAAAGCAAAUCACCACUCUAGACACUGACUUACAAUGCAGAGGAGUUUACCAUUUAGACCGGAAGGAGGUGAACGCGUGAGUCGAUGCGGAGUUCACUGUUCAGACCGGAAGGAGGUGAACCCGUGAGUCCAUGCGGAGGAGUUCACUGUUCAGACCGGAAGGAGGUGAACCCGUGAGUCGAUGCGGAGGAGUUCACUGUUCAGACCGGAAGGAGGUGAACCCGUGAGUCCAUGCGGAGGAGUUCACUGUUCAGACCGGAAGGAGGUGAACCCGUGAGUCGAUGCGGAGGCGUUCACUGUUCAGACCGGAAGGAGGUGAACCCGUGAGUCCAUGCGGAGGAGUUCACUGUUCAGACCGGAAGGAGGUGAACCCGUGAGUCGAUGCGGAGGCGUUCACUGUUUAGACCGGAAGGAGGUGAACUCGUGAGUCCAUGCGGAGGCGUUCACUGUUUAGACCGGAAGGGGUGAAUGGAGCCAUCAUAGAGGAAGCCACAGCGUUGUCUAGUUAUGCAAAGGAGGCUCCUAGAGGGGGCGAAUUGCAGCUGAGCCUUGAGACUCCCACGAGGACGCUCAGAAGAAGGCAGCCCAAUGCAAGGAAACUGCAUAUUUUAGAGAUGAAAGCACAGAAGAAGUAUGGAAUUUCAUGACUGUGACACUAAAAGCAUGGUCAAAAAAAGCAACAACAGACAAAGGGAACUACAUCAAGCCAAAAAGCUCCUGCACAGCAGAGGAAACGAUCGACAGCGUGAAGAUGCAUAUUCUGCGGAACGAAAGAAAAUGCAGUGGCCCCUCAGCGUCUGCAGGAGACUCAUUCCAGGACCUCCUGCAGAUACCAAAAUUCAGGGAUACUCCAGUCCCGGAAAAAAAAUGACAUAAUAUUUGCAUUAACCCUGCACAUCCUCCUGUAUACUUAUAAAUCAUCUCUAGAUUACAUGUAAUACCUAAUACAAUGUAAAUGCUAUGUAAAUCGAUGUUAUACUGUGUUGUUUAGAGAAUGACCCAAAAAAGC
rnacentral:lncRNA from 10 species